ACCGGAAUUCAACAUCACACGAACGUCACUUAAAAAAACCAAUUACGUCAUAGAGAAGAGAUUUUGUUUGUAAAAAUUCUAUAAAAAUGCCCACACAUUGAGCCGUGAUCCGGGCGUUCCAAACCCUCCAAACGCUCCUAUUUGUUCCGGUCUCGUAACCGGCUGCGGCAGAGUGAACGAGACGGAUGCAAACAAAUCUACCCUGAACGGGGUUUUGCGGGCAGAAAUUUGUAAAAUAUUGAUUUGCGUGCGAAGAAACGCGUGCGUACUGUUUUGGAACUGUGUUUGCGUUAGGUUUGGCAGUGAAAAAAAGCAAACAAUGUGUCGCUCGUGGCUAGUUUCAUUACAUAAUCGGCCCGAUUUGGGUCGCGGGAAUGCUGUGCAGAAAAGAAGGCCAAAAUGCGUCAAAAGUACGAGCGCGUAAACAAUUGGGAAAAGGCUCCUGGGUCUGGGGUUUGCCGCGCGUGCAUGAAUCGUGCUUUGCCGGGGGAUGAACUCUUGUAUACGAUGCGUGCAACGGGUCGCAUACAAGCAGCGGUGGACAGUUUUUCCCCCGCAGUAAAUGCUGCUGCAGGACCAGUUUCUGCCGUUAGCUUUGGCCGAAUAGGCUGGUAAAUUCUUGCUGGGGGGUUUCGGAUUGUAGCGUAAAAAAAAAAAAAAUCGGGAAAAAGUGGGAAAACUGCAUCGUAGAUGGUGGAGUGCAAACGUUUCAACAGUUCAAGAACGAAAAGAAUCA